rnacentral:lncRNA from 1 species
UUCCACAAUCAUUUGUUUACCUUCCUUGUUAUCAAUAUGUUGAGACCACUCUUUGUGCAGAUCAUUCACUAGAUCAUCUAACUCCCACUCCCCUUGAACCUCGUCUAUACCAUUAACAUUGUUGAAUUGCGGUGACGUUUCCGGCACAUUUUCAGAUUCAUCCUCCUUCAAAAAGGCAUCCUCCCCCAAAUUACACCCCCACUCCUCCACCAACUUGAUAACAAACAUACAACCAUCGAUAG